AAACAGCAGAAUGUUUACAAUACUUUGUAAUGAGAUGUGAAAUGACCAUGAAAACCUUUUGUGCUUUGAAGGGAUUGCAGGCUAUCUCAUGGCAAAGUACAUAAAAAGAUUGAAGCUCCGUGGGGCAGGAAGAAUGACAUAAUUCUUCCACAACUUCUCUCCCGCACCCAACUCCUCGCCAUGGCCACCCAGCAAGCAUUUGAUGAAUGGAGAGAUGGGAACGAACGGAACACAGUUGCUGGGGAUGCUGGGAAGAUGCUUUCCUGCCCUUGGACUCUCACCAGCCUGGGAGUUAGCAGACUUGUGAUCAAGGCAUAGCUUUGGCACCAGUUAUUUGGUGGCCUCAGUAGAGAUCUCACUGGGUCUUUUUUACUUAGCUAAAAUAUAAAGUUUCCAAAUUUCU